GACGAACGCUGUCGGCGUGCUUAACACAUGCAAGUCGAACGGAAAGGCCCUGCUUUUGUGGGGUGCUCGAGUGGCGAACGGGUGAGUAACACGUGAGUAACCUGCCCUUGACUUUGGGAUAACUUCAGGAAACUGGGGCUAAUACCGGAUAGGAGCUCCUGCUGCAUGGUGGGGGUUGGAAAGUUUCGGCGGGUGGGGCUGGACUCGCGGCUUAUCAGCUUGUUGGUUGGGUAGUGGCUUACCAAGGCUUUGACGGGUAGCCGGCCUGAGAGGGUGACCGGCCACAUUGGGACUGAGAUACGGCCCAGACUCCUACGGGAGGCAGCAGUGGGGAAUAUUGCACAAUGGGCGGAAGCCUGAUGCAGCAACGCCGCGUGCGGGAUGACGGCCUUCGGGUUGUAAACCGCUUUCGCCUGUGACGAAGCGUGAGUGACGGUAAUGGGUAAAGAAGCACCGGCUAACUACGUG
rnacentral:rRNA from 1 species